GCCGUCGUGGCGCAAUGGUAGCGCAUCACCUUCCUACAUCUGUUAGCCAGUCACAGCUACUGAUGCAAUAAGGUGGGAGUUGCGGGUUCGAGCCCCGUCGACGGUA